rnacentral:rRNA from 1 species
AGAGUGAACGCUGGCGGCAGGCCUAACACAUGCAAGUCGAACGGCAGCACAGUAAGAGCUUGCUCUUAUGGGUGGCGAGUGGCGGACGGGUGAGGAAUACAUCGGAAUCUGCCUAUUUGUGGGGGAUAACGUAGGGAAACUUACGCUAAUACCGCAUACGACCUACGGGUGAAAGCGGAGGACCUUCGGGCUUCGCGCAGAUAGAUGUGCCGAUGUCGGAUUAGCUAGUUGGUGGGGUAAAGGCCCACCAAGGCGACGAUCCGUAGCUGGUCUGAGAGGAUGAUCAGCCACACUGGAACUGAGACACGGUCCAGACUCCUACGGGA